UUCCAGGGUUGGGGAUUGAACCCAGAGUGUUCCGCUUAUCGGACAGAUGCCAUGUCCACUAGGCUACCCUGGA